rnacentral:rRNA from 1 species
GAUUAGCUAGUUGGUGGGGUAAAGGCCUACCAAGGCGACGAUCAGUAGUGGGUCUGAGAGGAUGAUCCGCCACACUGGGACUGAGACACGGCCCAGACUCCUACGGGAGGCAGCAGUGGGGAAUUUUGGACAAUGGGGGAAAGCCUGAUCCAGCCAUGCCGCGUGUCUGAAGAAGGCCUUCGGGUUGUAAAGGACUUUUGUCAGGGAAGAAA